CACGUAGGGUGCGAGCGUUGUCCGGAAUUAUUGGGCGUAAAGAGCUCGUAGGCGGUGUGUCGCGUCGGCCGUGAAAACCUGCAGCUUAACUGUGGGCGUGCGGUCGAUACGGGCAUCACUGGAGUUCGGCAGGGGAGACUGGAAUUCUCGGUGUAGCGGUGAAAUGCGUAGAUAUCGAGAGGAACACCUGCGGCGAAGGCGGGUAGCUGGGCCGACACUGACGCUGAGGCGCGAAAGCCAGGGGAGCGAACGGG
rnacentral:rRNA from 1 species